ACAGCAGUCGCCGCGGGAAUACGAAGGGUGCAAGCGUUAUCCGGAUUCACUGGGUUUAAAGGGUGCGUAGGCGGGCAGUUAAGUCAGUGGUGAAAUCUCCGGGCUCAACCCGGAAACUGCCGUUGAUACUAUCUGUCUUGAAUGUUGUGGAGGUGAGCGGAAUAUGUCAUGUAGCGGUGAAAUGCUUAGAUAUGACAUAGAACACCGAUUGCGAAGGCAGCUCACUACACAGAAAUUGACGCUGAGGCACGAAAGCGUGGGGAUCAAACAGGAUUAGAUACCCGUGUAGUCCCUGUCUCUUAUAU
rnacentral:rRNA from 1 species